AACCAGACUCCUACGGGAGGCAGCAGUGAGGAAUAUUGGUCAAUGGUCGGGAGACUGAACCAGCCAAGCCGCGUGAGGGAUGAAGGUACAGAGUAUCGUAAACCUCUUUUGUCAGGGAACAAAGGCGGGGACGCGUCCCCGGAUGAGUGUACCUGAAGAAAAAGCAUCGGCUAACUCCGUGCCAGCAGCCGCGGUAAUACGGAGGAUGCGAGCGUUAUCCGGAUUUAUUGGGCGUAAAGGGUGCGUAGAUGGUUGAUAUAAGUCUUUUGUAAAAAUGCUAGGCUCAACCUAGUAGGGCAAAAGAUACUGAUGAACUAGAGUACGGCAGAGGCAAGUGGAACUACAUGUGUAGCGGUAAAAUGCGUAAAUAUAUGUAAGAACACCGGUGGCGAAGGCGGCUUGCUGGGCCUGUACUGACAUUGAGGCACGAAAGCGUGGGGAGCAAACAGGAUUAGAUACCCUCGUAGC
rnacentral:rRNA from 1 species